UACGGAGGAUGCGAGCGUUAUCCGGAUUUAUUGGGUUUAAAGGGUGCGUAGGCGGACGCUUAAGUCAGCGGUAAAAUUGCGGGGCUCAACCUCGUCGAGCCGUUGAAACUGGGUGCUUGAGUGGGCGAGAAGUACGCGGAAUGCGUGGUGUAGCGGUGAAAUGCAUAGAUAUCACGCAGAACUCCGAUUGCGAAGGCAGCGUACCGGCGCCCUACUGACGCUGAAGCACGAAGGCGUGGGUAUCGAACAGG
rnacentral:rRNA from 1 species